AAUUAAAUAGUCAAAAUAUGAUAUUAAAUUGCAAAUUUAAAGUUAAAAUAAUUUUUUUAAUUU
rnacentral:tRNA from 1 species